CUGUCCUGCUGUUUAAGAAGUGGGCCUCCGAGGGUCUGAGCCUAGCCACCUAGAGGAGAGUGGUCUGGCCAUCAUAGAGUUCCUCAUGCCACAUCUCAUGAGCACUUACCUUCUCGUACAUAAAUAUCGGGCAGUGGAAUCGGAGCAUGUGUCCCCUGACUGGAAGCAGUGACAACCACGGCAGCAGUGUCCAAGCCUUACUUCUUUCCUGAGAACUAAAGAAAUAGAAGCUGGUUCCUCUGAUGGUAAUUUGAAGAUGGAGCCUCAUCUGACAUCAGGAUCCUGGAAAUUUCCCAGUGUUUACAAAAGUGAUUGAUGAUUUGCUAUCAAAUAUAAAGAAAAAGAAGCUAAACUAUCACCGGACAGUUUAACAGCCUUUAAAAUAUAAUGGUUUCUCUGGCUGGACAUCCACAGUUGCCGUAGAAUCUCAGAAGGUCAAGCUUUAAUG
rnacentral:lncRNA from 1 species